rnacentral:rRNA from 1 species
GUAGUCUGCAACCCGACUACAUGAAGCUGGAAUCGCUAGUAAUCGCGGAUCAGAAUGCCGCGGUGAAUACGUUCCCGGGUCUUGUACACACCGCCCGUCACACCAUGGGAGUCGGAAAUGCCCGAAGUCUGUGACCCCAACCUACGGGAGGGAGCAGCCGAAGGCAGGUCGGAUGACUGGGGUGAAGUCGUAACAAGGUAAC